rnacentral:rRNA from 1 species
AGAGUUUGAUUAUGGCUCAGAAUGAACGCUGGCGGCAUGGCUAAGACAUGCAAGUCGAACGAACUAUCUUGAAGAGUAAUCGGACAGAUAGUGAGUGGCGCAAGGGUGAGGAAUGGAUAGGUAACAUACCUCGGGCUCCGGAAUAGCUCAUCGAAAGGUGGGGUAAUGCCGGAUGAUGUCCUGUGUUAAAUGCACGGGACCAAAGAUUUAUCGGCCUGGGAGUGGCCUAUUCCCUAUCAGCUUGUUGGUGAGGUAACGGCUCACCAAGGCGACGACGGGUAGCGGGACUGAGAGGUUGACCCGCCACAUCGGGACUGUGACGCUGCCCGGACCUCCACGGAGGGCUGCAGUAACGAAUAUUGGGCAAUGGGCGAAAGCCUGACCCAGCAAUGCCGCGUGUAGGAUGAAGCUUUUCGGAGUGUAAACUACUUUCAGGGAUUAGAAAGCUACGGUUGAUCAAUCCCAGAAGAAGUCACGGCUAACUUCGUGCCAGCAGCCGCGGUAAUACGAAGGUGGCAAGCGUUAUUCGAAAUCACUGGGCUUAAAGGGCGCGUAGGCGGAUAUGUAGGUGUCAGGUGAAAACCCCCGGCUUAACCGGGGAACGGCCUGGCAAACGGCAUAUCUUGAGUCAAGUAGGGGUGUGUGGAACUCUUGGUGGAGCGGUGGAAUGCGUAGAUAUCAAGAGGAACGCCGAAGGUGAAGACAGCACACUGGGCUUGAACUGACGCUGAGGCGCGAAAGCGUGGGGAGCAAACAGGAUUAGAUACCCUGGUAGUCCACGCCGUAAACGAUGUAUACUAG